rnacentral:lncRNA from 1 species
AUAAGGCUACAGAAACCUACCACAGCAAAGAAACCAAUGGGAGAAGAGACAGGCACUCCUUCUGUCACCCAGGCUGAAGUGCAGCAGCCUGAUCAUAGCUCACUGCAGCCUUGAAUUCUUGGACUCAAGUGAUGCUUCCACUCCCGCCUCCCAAGUAGCUGGGACUACAGGCUCAUACCACCACACCUGACUGCUUUCUCUCUUUUAGAAAAGGUACCCCUAACCUUGUAUAAGGUAUUCAUCCGACUUCUCUCAGAAGAGUUGAAAGAAUUCUCUCUUUGGACCAUGCUGUGGUCCUUAGAUCUCCUAACCCUUCUCCCUUCUCAUCUGUCAGUUAAGGCUUUGUCUUGAACUGCUAACACAGAUCUAUGUUUUAAGAGCCUGUAUGUCAAUAUGGAAACAAACUCUUUGGCACAUUCUAUUUCUUGAAAGAUUAUCAGACAGAAUCAACAAUUGGAAGGAAGAGUUGCCCGGAAGCUAGCUGCAUCAAAUGGUUCCUCUGCAGGAAAUUUUG